UCAUCCCCAACCUCCUGCUACAGGGAGGCAGGGGGGUCGUGGCGGGCAUCCACGCCAUGGCCACGCCCCCUGGGCGAUGUGCCGACGAUCCCACGGCUUCCUGGGAUGAUAAGGCGUCGCCCCGUGCCCCUCCUCGAACCCUAGCUUCUUCUCCCCUUUCCCCGCUCUCCCUCUCCCGUUACAGAAGCCGCCCGCCGCCACCAUCGCCGCCACCUCAUCGAUCCGGUGGCCACCGACCUCCCCGGCACCUAAGGAGACAUCUAGAAGCCUCCUCGCGGUCGUCUCCUUCCUCUCCACCGAGGAACCCGAGCCGAGACGCUCCGUACGCUCGCCAUCGCCAUCGUCUUCGCCCACGGCCGCCACAUCUCGUCGACGGUUGCCGCUGCUCCGAUCCGUCCCUGCGGCAACCGAGGUGUCCACAAGCCCCGGGAUGUCGGAGCCCAGGAGCCAGAUGCCACCGCCGAUGCAUACUAAUACGUGGAGACCACCGGCGACCAGGAGUAGUUAGGAGGCUCCCAGGCAGGAGGCCUUGCCUUUUCGAUCGAUGUUGAUUUUGUGCUAGCCUUCUUAAUGCAAACUUGUUUAACUCAUGUCUGUACUCAGAUAAUGUUGCUUCCACUGACACUUGUGUAUUCAAGCUUAUGUAUUCGAGCACUCGAGGCCCCUGGCUUAUAAUAUAAAGCUUGUAUUAUUUUAA